GGGGCCAUGGCGCAACGGUAGCGCGUCUGAUUCCAGUCAUGCGGUCAUGUGACUCCAGAAGGUUGAGUGUUCAAGUCACUCUGGCCUCA
rfam:Phanerochaete carnosa HHB-10118-sp unplaced genomic scaffold PHACAscaffold_5, whole genome shotgun sequence.